ACACAUGCAGUCGAGCGGGGAAGNNGNGUAGCUUGCUANCNCNUGACCUAGCGGCGGACGGGUGAGUAAUGCUUAGGAAUCUGCCUAUUAGUGGGGGACAACAUUCCGAAAGGAAUGCUAAUACCGCAUACGCCCUACGGGGGAAAGCAGGGGAUCUUCGGACCUUGCGCUAAUAGAUGAGCCUAAGUCAGAUUAGCUAGUUGGUGGGGUAAAGGCCUACCAAGGCGACGAUCUGUAGCGGGUCUGAGAGGAUGAUCCGCCACACUGGGACUGAGACACGGCCCAGACUCCUACGGGAGGCAGCAGUGGGGAAUAUUGGACAAUGGGCGAAAGCCUGAUCCAGCCAUGCCGCGUGUGUGAAGAAGGCCUUUUGGUUGUAAAGCACUUUAAGCGAGGAGGAGGCUACUUGGAUUAAUACUCUAGGAUAGUGGACGUUACUCGCAGAAUAAGCACCGGCUAACUCUGUGCCAGCAGCCGCGGUAAUACAGAGGGUGCGAGCGUUAAUCGGAUUUACUGGGCGUAAAGCGUGCGUAGGCGGCUUUUUAAGUCGGAUGUGAAAUCCCUGAGCUUAACUUAGGAAUUGCAUUCGAUACUGGGAAGCUAGAGUAUGGGAGAGGAUGGUAGAAUUCCAGGUGUAGCGGUGAAAUGCGUAGAGAUCUGGAGGAAUACCGAUGGCGAAGGCAGCCAUCUGGCCUAAUACUGACGCUGAGGUACGAAAGCAUGGGGAGCAAACAGGAUUAGAUACCCUGGUAGUCCAUGCCGUA
rnacentral:rRNA from 1 species